rnacentral:rRNA from 1 species
AGUGAACGCUGGCGGUAGGCCUAACACAUGUAAGUCGAACGGCAGCACAGUAAGAGCUUGCUCUUACGGGUGGCGAGUGGCGGACGGGUGAGGAAUACAUCGGAAUCUACUUUUUCGUGGGGGAUAACGUAGGGAAACUUACGCUAAUACCGCAUACGACCUACGGGUGAAAGCAGGGGAUCUUCGGACCUUGCGCGAAUGAAUGAGCCGAUGUCGGAUUAGCUAGUUGGCGGGGUAAAGGCCCACCAAGGCGACGAUCCGUAGCUGGUCUGCGAGGAUGUUCGGCCGCACUGGAACUGAGACACGGUCCAGGCUCCUACGGGAGGCAGCAGUGGGGAAUCUUGGACAAUGGGCGCAAACCUGAUCCAGCCAUACCGCGUGUGUGAAGCAGUCCUUCGGGUUGUAAAGACCUUUUGUUGGGAAAGAAAAGCAGCAGGUUAAUACCCCGCUGUUCUGACGGUACCCAAAUAAUAAGCACCGGCUAACUUCGUG